UUCUUCUUCCUCUUCUAUUUUUUUUUUUUUGGUAUUUUUCCUUUUCUUAGCUGAGAUUUUCUUUGCAUCAAUGAUGAAUACAUUUUCUUGUGUGCUGAGAACAGUCUUUGUGGCUGCUUUGGAACCCCUGUUUACUAACCCCAGGCUCUGCAUCAUCUCAGAAUUAGUGUGUGGUCAUUGUCUUUUAAAUAUGCACCACGGGUCUCAUUUGCAUGUCAAACAGUUCUGGAGUGUGUUUCGAAUAUUGUGAAUGGUCUUCUAUGUGUUUUCUGGAUUCUGCUUUUAUUCUCAAAGCACUUAUGCUCUGUCUGAGUCAGCAGCCUGUGCAGUGUGCUGCCUGCCUGCUCUGCUUUAGCCUGGACUUUAGUGCUCGGAAAUCUCCAGUUGGCUUCAAACUUGAGAUUCUUCUUUCUUAAGUUCUACAGUUCUUGGAUAAAAGGGUCUCAUAUACCCGAGGCUGACCUCAGGAUCACCAUGUAGCCUAGGAUGUACUCCAUCUUGCUUCCACCUCCAUCUUGCUAAGAUUACAGGUGUGCACUUCUACACUUGUUCAUGUACUUCUGCAAAUGGAGCCCAAGGCUUUGUGCAUGAUGGGAGAGUGUGACGGCUGUGUGUUGCCUGGUAGGAAGUUUUUUGUGGACCUGAUAGGUAUGGCUCCAGGGGCUCCAGGUUUUGAUGCCUCCCAACAAAUGGCAGACUCAGCAUUGGUCAUGGUAUUCUUAGCUGUGGUUUGUAUUGCAUCCUGAUGGUUUCAUCAUGCAUUCUUCCUACUCCGAGAGGAUACAGCAACUGAAAGAAGAUGCCAUGAGGUGGAGGUAAACAGCUUACCUCUGCCAUGUCCUGAUCCUAUGAUGUUCUGCCUUGUGCCUGUAAUAAUGCCCAUAACAAAGCAAGCCAUGUGUACUGAAACCUUGGAAGCUGUAAGCCAAAAAUAAAUCUUUCCUCCUUUAAAUUUUCUAUCUCAGAUAUUUGAUAUUAUGAUAGAGUGAUGAAGAAGCUAAUACAACAGGUUUAGUUUUCAUUGCCCAUCACAAAAAGAAUUUCAAAGAAAGGUAAAAAAUAAAAUAGAAAAUAUGUGGUUUAAUCCAAGAAAUUAUUGUUGCUUUUGUGAUUUAUUGUAUUUUUAAUCUUGUAUUUGUAUGUAUGUCUGUAUCUGUCGGGUGGGUGCACACGAAUAUUGGUGCCUAUCGAAGCCAGAAGAAGGUGUUUGAUCCCCUGGAGCAGGAGUUAGCCACUUGACAUGGGUCCUGGGAACCUAAUUUGGGUCUUCUGAAAGCAUGCUUCCUUGUCAGCAGAUCCUCAGAAAUGACUGUUUUGAACUAGAUAAAAAGUUAUUUCUAACCCAGGAAAGGAGGACAAGGGU